rnacentral:lncRNA from 1 species
GAUGAAUCUACGUUCUGUAUUUACUGUAGAGCAACAAAGGAUUUUACAGCGUUAUUAUGAAAAUGGAAUGACAAAUCAAAGUAAAAAUUGCUUUCAGCUCAUAUUACAGUGUGCACAGGAGGCUAAGCUGGACUUCAGUGUAGUCAGGACGUGGGUUGGCAAUAAGCGAAGAAAAAUGAGUAGUAAAAGCUGUGAGUCAGGAACAGCAGGAACUGUGUCUGGUACCUCAUUGGCAGCUCCGGACAUUACAGUCAGAAAUGUGGUUAAUAUUGCCCGCCCUUCCAGCCAGCAAUCUUCUUGGACUUCUGCCAAUAAUGAUGUCAUUGUAACUGGCAUAUACAGUCCGGCAGGCUCAUCAAGUAAGCAAGGCACUACAAAGCAUACAAAUACACAAAUUACAGAAGCACAGAAAAUUCCUAUUCAGAAGGCAGCCAGUAAAAAUGACACUGAAUUUCAAUUGCACAUUCCUGUUCAAAGACAAGUAGCACACUGUAAAAAUGCUUCUGUGCUCCUAGGGGAAAAGACAAUUAUUUUGUCAAGACAGACAAGUGUACUAAAUGCUGGAAACUCAGUGUACAAUCACACAAAGAAAAGCUACGCAAGUUCUCCGGUGCAAGCUUCUGAAAUGACAGUACCUCAAAAGCCAUCUGUGUGCCAGAGACCUUGCAAAAUUGAACCAGUUGGGAUCCAAAGGUCAUAUAAACCUGAACAUGCAGCUCUGGCAUCACAUAACUUAUGUGGGCAAAAGCCAACCAGUAGAGACCCUUGCUGUAGAACACAAAACUUGGAAAUUCGUGAAGUGUUUUCAUUGGCCGUCAGUGAUUACCCUCAGAGAAUUCUGGGAGGAAAUACCACACAGAAGCCAGGCUCAGCAGAAGGAACUUGUUUGUCCAUUGCAAUGGAGACUGGAGAUGCAGAGGAUGAAUAUGCCAGAGAGGAAGAGCUAGCAUCAAUGGGAGCACAGAUAACAAGCUACUCAAGGUUUUAUGAAAGUGGCAGUUCCCUUCGAGCUGAGAACCAAAGUACAACUUUGCCUGGACCAGGAAGAAACCUGUCAAAUUCACAAAUGGUGAAUAUUAGAGAUGUGUCAGACAAUGUACUGUAUCAAACUAGAGACUACCAUUUGACACCACGGACCUCAUUGCAUACAGCAUCAAGUACUAUGUACAGCAAUACUAAUCCAUCACGGAGUAAUUUUUCUCCACAUUUUGUAUCAACAAACCAACUGAGGUUAUCACAAAACCAAAACAAUUACCAG